UACGAAGGUCCCAAGCGUUAUCCUGAUUUAUUGGGUUUAAAGGGUGCGUAGGCGGGUUAUUAAGUCAGUGGUGAAAGCUCCAUGCCUAACAUGGAAAUUGCCAUUGAUACUGAUGAUCUUGAGUACAUUUGAAGUGGGCGGAAUGUGUCAUGUAGUGGUGAAAUACUUAGAUAUGACACAGAACACCGAUUGCGUAGGCAGCUCACUAAACUGUAACUGACGCUGAGGCACGAAAGCGUGGGGAGCAAACAGG
rnacentral:rRNA from 1 species